rnacentral:rRNA from 1 species
AUUGAACGCUGGCGGCAUGCUUUACACAUGCAAGUCGAACGGGCUUAGGGGCUUGCUCCUAAGUUAGUGGCGAACGGGUGAGUAAUGCAUCGGAACGUACCGUGUAGUGGGGGAUAACCCGGCGAAAGUCGGAUUAAUACCGCAUACGAUCUAAGGAUGAAAGCAGGGGAUCGCAAGACCUUGCGCUAUACGAGCGGCCGAUGUCGGAUUAGCUAGUUGGUAGGGUAAAGGCCUACCAAGGCAACGAUCCGUAGCGGGUCUGAGAGGAUGAUCGGACACACUGGGACUGAGACACGGCCCAGAAUCCGACGGGAGGCAGCAGUGGGGAAUUUUGGACAAUGGGCGAAAGCCUGAUCCAGCCAUGCCGCGUGAGUGAAGAAAGCCUUCGGGUUGUAAAGCUCUUUUGUCCGGGAGCAAAUCCUGUUCACUAAUACUGAGCGGGGCUGAGAGUACCGGAAGAAUAAGCACCGGCUAACUACGUGCCAGCCGCCGCUGUAACAC